GUUGGGGGAACAGCUUGACUAUAAAAGAAUAGGAGAGAAUUUUCUGUAGUGGUGGAACUGUCCUAUAUAUGGAUUAUGGUGGUAGUUACAUGACUGUGUGAUUAAUUCAAUUGAAUUCACUAAUUAAAUGCCCAUGCCCAGGAAAGAUGGAUGAGUAGACUAGAAAUAAAGGGCACUAAGAAAAUGGGUAGAGCUGUUAAUUUGCUUGAGAAUUGAUAGUUUCUGAAUAUACUGAAUAUACUGAAGAGAAACCUAGAAUACAAGGGCCCUUCAGAAACAAGGACUUAUGACACACAACAUGACACAGGAAAAAUAUAGGUGAUAGCUGAUGCAAGGCCAAUUUUAGAAACAUUACUGAAACUUACAAUCAGCGUCAUUGGUAAGAUUAGGCCCAGAUGUCAAGCUUAGAUCAGAGGUUUGCAAACUUGCAUCAGAAUUAGAGGGCUUGUUACAAGAAAAAUUACUGUCCAUUUUCCAGAAUUUCUGCCUGAUUAGGUCUGCACUGGGGCCCAAGGACUGAUAUUUGUAACAAAUCCCAACAGAUGUUGAUGCUGCUGGUCUGGGGACCACCCUGUAAGAACCAGUGACACUAUAUUACAAGGUGAAGACACCAAGCAUUACCAAGUGAGAUGAACAGUCAAACUUAAAAAAUACACUUCCACUUGCUGUAGAUAACAUAAUAGAGUACAGAAACCAGUCCAAGAAGGAGUUGGACUUCCAAGGAUGUGAAUCAUAGAUAAUAUAUAAAAGGGCUGGGGUUCACUCUAAGUCCCUUAUCAGAUCAAUUUGGAUCCCAUACCAGAUAUCCUCUAUUCUCCCUUCUAGAUCCACUCUCCACUUUUCUCCUCUCUGGGAGCCUGGCCUAAAUGGAUGACAUCAAUGGGUUCUUUAACUCCAUGGCUAUAGCCAAUGGGAGUCCCUGGCAGGAGAUAAGAGGGUUGAUUUUGACUGCUGCUUUCCUAGAUCUCAGGUUGCAGCUCUUACCAAAGUGCCCUCUUUACAUGACUCCUAGAUUCUGGUGAUGACUCCUUUGUCUUGCCUUUUCAGGCCUAAGGAUUAAAAAGCAAACAAACAAAAAAAAACCCUUAUUACUAGCUUUUGGGUAUUUUCCUAUUUCUUAUGGUUUCCCUAAGCUUUGCCCACACCUUUAAAAAUAGUCCCGUAAUAUUAAACUAUUCUUAUUCUAAAAUUGAGAAUGACAUCUGUUUCCUGCUGACCCAGAGGAAAACAAAGAUUGGGACCAAAGCGGCUCUACAAAAUAGAUCCUCUAAGCAGGAUUCAGCAUUAGGCUGCAGAAAAGCACAGGGAUAACCUUUCUGUUGGGGAAACAUUGGCAUUUGAGGACAUCAAGAUUUCUCAGAUUAUCACUGUUAGAAUAGAAUAAAAGUGCAGGUAAAGGACAAGGUGUCGAGAGUGCAAGUGGUUGUGGCAUUAGUUAUGGUGGAAAAAAAUGAUUUUUAAAUAUGUGGAGCCACCUGGAUUCUGUCACCCUAGGGAAUGAACAUAUGGAAGAAGAGCAACUAAAAGCUGUGAAUACACAAUUAAGAAUCAAAAGAGGAUAACCAAAAGGCCCGAUGGCAGUCUGAAACCCAGCGGCUGUAAGGUAGAUAUGGCUGACAAUCAAACCCUACUCAACAUAAAGUGUUGCAGAAUUGCCGCACCAAUUAAAUGCAUAUCCUGGUGACAGUGAAGGACUUAUCUCGAGUAUGCAGUUUUUGAUGUUUAACAAGGUUUGAACUCCUGUUGAAGGCUUUACUACAUUCCUUACAUUUGAAUGGUUUCUCUCCCGUGUGAAUCAUUUGGUGUCGAAUAAGAGAGGAGCUCCGGUUGAAGGAUUUUCCACAGUUAACACAUUGAUAGAAAUUGUUUCCAAAAUGGAGUGUUGGAUUAUUACUGUCUUCACUUUUACUGAAGGCCUUUCCACAUUUAUUGCUUGUGCAGGCCUUUGCUUCAGCAUGAAGUUUUUGAUGCUUAGUAAGGCAUCUGAAGAAGGGUGUCCACUUUCGGUAAGCCUUGUCAUAAUCACUCCAUGGGAUGAUUCUUCUCCAGAAAUACUCUUCA